AAUUUUGCAGUGAGAGAAGUCGAAUCCUGGCUGGUUUUGGGAUUCUUGAUACGGCUCCAGAUAAGUCGAAUUCAACUUUGAACAUGUCUUUCUUGAUUUUUUAUUUACUAUAAUUAGAUUUUGAUUUCUUUGAUUCUAAAAUUUGAUUUUUCAUGUUUCUUGAUUUUUUGAUCCGUUGUGAAAGGUUGGUUUUAGGGUUUGCUUCUAUUUCUUUGUUUCCUUUUCACUGAUCGUCUGUUGUAAAUGUAUUGAUAU
rnacentral:lncRNA from 1 species